CCUCAUGUUUAAUGUCUAAAUAAAUAAAUGAAGAAUAUUUAUUUUCGCCGCUUUCAGAUCGACUUCGCCUCAAAUUGUAACAAAACCAAGAUCCAUUCUCACUUUCUCUCCCCUAAAAUUGCUGUUGUAAAGUUAAUGGCUACUGGCUGCUUCAGGUAUUUUUGAUACAGUCCUGCUGGUCUACAGAAAACGAACAAACUCCUGUUUCCCGUGACACAAAGAUGCAUCUUCACCCCUGCUCCAAGUCCAUUUCCUACCAAACGUUUACUCUUCACUCCCAGCUUUGCUCAAGGGCAAGUGUUUGUGCUGGCUGUAUCCCUUGCCUUGCUCUACCCCUGCUCUUAGCAAAUUUUCCUCUCAUUCUUUUCUCCCGCCUCUCUUUUCCAGAUGGCCCAACUCCCUGCCCUAAAGGACCAGCAGCAAGAACAGCAGUGAGCUCCAUUUGUAUUUGGAAACUGCUUCACACUUACUCCCUCAGCAUUCAGAAGAGGGCCUGCUGUCGUUUCUCAAGGUAAUCUUAUUUAAUUACAAAGAAUGUACAAAAUCUGUUUUUCUCAGUCACCACAAGCAUGAAAACCAUGCUGGAGGGGAUGUUUUGUUCAUACUCUUUAACAGCACUAACCAGCCCCCAAACCCUCCCUGUUUCGAGUCCUUUUGUGAGCUCUUGGAUUUCCUGCUUUACUUCCUGACAUUUCCACUUUCUUCUCUGCUUUUCUCCCACAGAUGCACAACCCUCUGGAAAACAAUGGGCAAAGAAAUCCCUUUGGCCACACGUGCCUUCCCUUUGGAUGGCUGCAUGGGCCUGGUGCUGGAAUGGGGCUGGUGUUAGUUCAACUAUUCAGUCGACAAGGCUUAAGUGUUUCUUAUAAUUGUCUGAAUCGAGGAUGUGGUUACACCCCCAGCUUUCAGAAGGUUUUCUCCCAUCCAGAGCAGUCCAGGGUGAAAAAAAAUCUCUACAACCAAGCUGUUACAACACUCUGAUAUUCACCAUCAAAUCUUUGAUUCACAGCCUCAUCUGUAGAUAUGAAUUCAGAAGGGCAGAGAAGUAAAUAUAUUAAAGUUGUAGCCAGGCAGGGCAAUAUAUGAGAUAUCAAAAAAAUCUCUUUGAGUUGCAUUGAAAACCUUCCCCCUGAGCACCCUGCCACCACUGAGCACUGAUGUCCAAAAUCUCCCUCAGACCUAAAUGAUAAUCUCAGAAAAUAAAGCUGUUAACAACAACAAUGAAAGCUGUGAAUCUUAGUGUUUAUUUGCAUCUGAUAUAAAGCACAAGAUUCUUCACACUUAUAUGCCCAUGUAUCUCAUAAUAAUUUGGAAUUUUCCUCCAAAAAAAAUGUAUAACAUUAAAAAUCAGGAUUCCUUUUUCUGGCCUCAAAAGCUGAGGGAGAGCACUAAAAAAAAAGAGAGCUUUGCAAUGUACCUCUCCAAAAAUGAAUACAGACAAAUUAAGCCAAACCUUUCUAAGUUUAGUCAUAGAGGAAUCACUGAUUGCCAUAUUGAUACAGCAAAGACAUUUGCACCGUUGGGCCCCAAACAAAUGAGAUUCCACUUAUUUCUAUGCCCCUGGAAUUGAAAAUGGUUUCAUUUUAAUUUCAAUAUUAAUUACCAGUGACAUGCUGAAGGCCUUGUAAAGAGAGGCAUUCAGCUGGGACAGCUGUUUGUGCAUUGUUGGUGUGCAGAAUUGUUGUCUAAGAACCAAAGGAUACCAGCUUAUUUCUCUGCCAAAAAGAUUUUGACAGGAACUGUUGAGAUCUGUCUUACCAAAACAAUAAUCUGUGCACAGAGGGACCUUAUUGACAGCUCUUCUCCUUCUCCUUCUCCUUCUUGGAAUGCAAAACGUUUUUAUUGGUAAUGAGUACAGCAUCUUUCUGCUGGCUGCAAAAGAAGUACCUUUUAGCAGGAAAAUACACCAACAAAGGAGCCUCUCCAGCCCAAACUAUUCCAUGAUUCUCUGUGGAGAGGUAAGGCAGAGGGGAAAGAUGCCAACCUGUCAAAAGCAGGGGACUGCAAAGGGUAUCUCCUGAUGAACGAGAUCCUGGCAGAUAUUCCUGCAUCUUCUGGAGCUUAACAAGUGGAUGUGAAAUGUCUUCAAUCACCCCUUGGUUGCUUCUGGUCUCCUCUGCUGUACAGGUCUCCAGGGACUGAAGGAUUAUUGUUUCUGCUCUGCUCUGUUAAUGACAUUUCAAAAAAUGAUCAUGGAUAGGAACCCAUAGCUGCUGCCAGAGGCGUUUUUCCAAGCUGAGUUCCUUGAUUUGCCCACAGGAAAAGCUUAGCUGCAAGUGUGGAGAUGAGAAACCUCCUUCAUGGUUGUUUCUCGUGUUCUUCACUUGCUGGUAAACAGCCUAAGAAGGCACCUGGGAUGGGAAAUGGAAGUUCUCACUCACAUCCGUGAUGUGGACACAGCCCUUAAAGACAAACUGACCCAGGGAAGGAAACAUUGCCAGCUGCAAAUGUCACUUUUUUAUUGUGGCCAUUGAAACGACAGCAAAAAGAAGUGACCAGCUUCUAAAAUAUGAAUGAAUAGGAGCCCAAAAUACUUCAUGAAUAAAAGCAGACACAUAAGUUUCUAGGUAUAAAAAUUGUACUUGAGUUUGACUUAUUUUCCUCCAAUUUUAGGCCAAAAUAAUUUUUUUUUGUAAGCAGAAGGCCCCUUGCUUUUUGGGUGUGCUCAGAAAAGAGCACGGCCCAUAAGGAUGUUGUUGGAAAAGUUUAUUUCAGCAGCAUGAAUUAGCAAAGCAGAGAGAAAAAGAGUGUUAAAAUAUGUAUGAAACCCUAGGGAAAUUUUGGAAACUUGUUCUCCUCUGAGAACUAACAUAACAAAAGUGAAUAUCUUGGAUAAGGUAGCAGUCCUUUAGUCCACAUAUCUGCCUCCUCUUCUAUUAAAGAUUUGCUCUCUUCCUGCUUUCCAUAGGGAGAAAAUUUAUUGAACUGAUUGAUCUUUAUUUCUUUUCGAAGCUAUCUUAAACAGUCCUUUGAAGUUUGCAAGUUCAAAUGUCUCCUGUUCCCUUUUGGAAGGUUUGAAGGAUCUGGGAAGGUGAACAAGCAGAUCUAUAAUUAAAGAGCAGUGGAUGGUAACUGUCCUCCUU
rnacentral:lncRNA from 13 species